rnacentral:rRNA from 1 species
CAAUAGCGUAUAUUAAAGUUGUUGCAGUUAGAACGCUCGUAGUCGGAUUUCGGGGCGGGCCGACCGGUCUGCCGAUGGGUACGCACUGGUCGGCGCGUCCUUCCUUCCGGAGACCGUGCCUACUCUUAACUGAGCGGGGGCGGGAGACGGAUCGUUUACUUUGAAAAAAUCAGAGUGUUUCAAGCAGGCAGCUCGCUCUUGCAUGGAUUAGCAUGGGAUAAUGAAAUAGGACUUUGGUGCUAUUUUGUUGGUUUCGAACACCGAAGUAAUGAUUAACAGGGACAGUCAGGGGCACUCGUAUUCCGCCGAGAGAGGUGAAAUUCUCGGACCAGCGGAAGACGAACUACUGCGAAAGCAUUUGCCAGGGAUGUUUUCACUGA